rnacentral:rRNA from 1 species
UACGGGGGGGGCAAGCGUUGUUCGGAAUUACUGGGCGUAAAGAGCUCGUAGGCGGCUUGUCGCGUCGUCCGUGAAAACUUGGGGCUCAACCCCAAGCUUGCGGUCGGAUACGGGCAGGCGUAGAGUUCGGUAGGGGAGACUGGAAUUCCUGGUGGUACGGUGAAUGACGCAGAUAUCAGGAGGAACACCGGUGGCGAAGGCGGGUCUCUGGGCCGAUACUGACGCUGAGGAGCGAAAGCGUGGGGAGCGAACAGG